rnacentral:rRNA from 1 species
GAUGAACGCUAGCGGCAGGCCUAAUACAUGCAAGUCGGACGGGAUUCAGGAUCUUGCUUCUGAUGAGAGUGGCGCACGGGUGCGUAACACGUAUGUAACCUACCUUUAUCAGGGGGAUAGCCUCUCGAAAGAGAGAUUAAGCCCGCAUAAAAUCACAGCACAGCAUUGUGUAAUGAUCAAAUAUUUAUAGGAUAAAGAUGGGCAUGCGGAACAUUAGCUAGAUGGCGGGGUAACGGCCCACCAUGGCGACGAUGUUUAGGGGAUCUGAGAGGAUGGCCCCCCACGCUGGUACUGAGACACGGACCAGACGCCUAGGGGAGGCAGCAGAAAGGAGUAUUGGGCGAUGGGCGGAAGCCUGAACCAGCCAUGCCGAGUGAAGGAAGACGGCCCUACGGGUUGUAAACUGCUUUUAUACGGGAAUAAACCCAGAUACGUGUAUCUGGCUGAAUGUACUGUAAGAAUAAGGAUCGGCUAACCCCGUG